GACGAACGCUGGCGGCGUGCUUAACACAUGCAAGUCGAACGGAAAGGCCCCUUUGGGGGUACUCGAGUGGCGAACGGGUGAGUAACACGUGAGUAACCUGCCCUUGACUUCGGGAUAACUUCAGGAAACUGGGGCUAAUACCGGAUAGGAAUCCUUGCUGCAUGGUGGGGGUUGGAAAGCUUCGGCGGUUUUGGAUGGACUCGCGGCUUAUCAGCUUGUUGGUGGGGUAGUGGCUUACCAAGGCUUUGACGGGUAGCCGGCCUGAGAGGGCGUCCGGCCACAUUGGGACUGAGAUACGGCCCAGACUCCUACGGGAGGCAGCAGUGGGGAAUAUUGCACAAUGGGCGGAAGCCUGAUGCAGCAACGCCGCGUGCGGGAUGACGGCCUUCGGGUUGUAAACCGCUUUCAGCAGGGGCGAAGCUUGUGGUGACGGUACCUGCAGAAGAAGCACCGGCUAACUACGUG
rnacentral:rRNA from 1 species